CAUGUACGCCCUCCGCCCCAAAAUUCUUGUCUUAUAAUUAUCUAUAUAUGAAUGUAUCUAGUCACAUCUUACUAUUUAGAUACAUCCAUUUCUAGACAAACCUAAGACAAAAAUUUUGGGACGGAGGGGGUACAAA
rnacentral:pre_miRNA from 1 species